CAGUGGAAAUGGGGUCAUUG
rnacentral:miRNA from 1 species